rnacentral:rRNA from 1 species
UACAGAGGGGGCGAGCGUUGUUCGGAAUUACUGGGCGUAAAGGGCGCGUAGGCGGCCUGCUAAGUCGGACGUGAAAUCCCUCGGCUCAACCGGGGAACUGCGUCCGAUACUGGCGGGCUUGAAUCCGGGAGAGGAAUGCGGAAUUCCAGGUGUAGCGGUGAAAUGCGUAGAUAUCUGGAGGAACACCGGUGGCGAAGGCGGCAUUCUGGACCGGCAUUGACGCUGAUGCGCGAAAGCGUGGGGAGCAAACGGG